rnacentral:rRNA from 1 species
AUUGAACGCUGGCGGCAUGCUUUACACAUGCAAGUCGAACGGCAGCGGGGGCUUCGGCCUGCCGGCGAGUGGCGAACGGGUGAGUAAUGCAUCGGAACGUGCCCAUGUCGUGGGGGAUAACUACGCGAAAGCGUGGCUAAUACCGCAUACGCCCUGAGGGGGAAAGCGGGGGAUCUUUCGGGACCUCCCGCGGUUGGAGCGGCCGAUGUCGGAUUAGCUAGUUGGGGGGGUAAAGGCUCACCAAGGCGACGAUCCGUGGCUGGUCUGAGAGGAUGAUCAGCCACACUGGGACUGAGACGCGGCCCAGACUCCUACGGGAGGCAGCAGUGGGGAAUUUUGGACAAUGGGCGCAAGCCUGAUCCAGCCAUGCCGCGUGAGUGAAGAAGGCCUUCGGGUUGUAAAGCUCUUUCGGCCGGGAAGAAAUCGCAUUCUCUAAUAUAGGAUGUGGAUGACGGUACCGGACUAAGAAGCACCGGCUAACUACGUGCCAGCAGCCGCCGCGGUAA